GGAUGCUGCUGUUCUCUACCUUGGAACACUCUCCUCUUUCUACACUGAUGAAUCAUCAGGAUAAUGAGAAAGAGGAAAAUACAGUGUCCCAUGAUGAAACCGAGGACACUGGCCACAAAAAAGAUCCCCGGACUGGGAUUUGAGUGGAUCCCUGAGAAGUACAUGCUGGGAGUAUGAGAAAGGCAGUGACCUAUUCCCUCUGAGGAGGCUACCAGCCUCUCACAAUCUGCCAUUGUGCCAGCAGCUGUGACUUCAUCGUCCUGAUACCACAGGUGUCAUUGGUGAAGACAAGGACCUUCCUAGUCAUCCCCAGAUUCAGAAAUGUUCCUUUCAGCAGUCCAUUCAAACCCUGGGCCCGGGAUCUUCUUUGUGGCAAGUAUCCUUGGUUUCAGCCUGGGACCUUGCUUCCUCCUUUUUCUCCUUCUCCUGAUGAUGCAUCAAUGCAGAAAGAAAUCAAAAUGCCAAGGUUGGGAUAGAAAUAUCAAGGAAGCACGGUGUCAUUUAUAAGAGCAGUAAGGCUGAACAUGGCGGCUCGUUAUGAGGCCCGGGAGAUGCUGCGUCUUUAUAAGAGAAGAAGAAGAUCUGGGAAACGAGAAACUUCUGCAGGAGGAAGAGAAGCCCUAUGUUCAGGUUGCUGAGUUCAGAGAGUCUAGGAUCUCACUGGAGGAGAAAUCCAUGUGCCUGUACUGACAAGCUAUACUACGGUCCAGGCUAGAAGUUCAGAGACUGCCAUAGUGGUACUAGGAUAGGACCAUGACACAUUGUGUUCCCCUUUUACAUAAGUUCUCCAAUAAUAAACACUUUGGUCCUACUCA
rnacentral:lncRNA from 1 species